rnacentral:rRNA from 1 species
UACGUAGGGUGCGAGCGUUGUCCGGAAUCACUGGGCGUAAAGGGCGCGUAGGUAGCGGCCCAAGUCCAUGGUGAAAGCUCGAUGCUCAACAUCGAGUCGGCCACGGAUACUAAAUUGCUCGAGCACUGUAGGGGCAGAUGGAAUUCCGGGUGUAGCGGUGGAAUGCGUAGAGAUCCGGAAGAACACCGGUGGCGAAGGCGGUCUGCUGGGCAGUUGCUGACACUGAGGCGCGACAGCGUGGGGAGCAAACAGG